CGUGCCAGCAGCCGCGGUAAUACGUAGGGUGCGAGCGUUAAUCGGAAUUACUGGGCGUAAAGCGGGCGCAGACGGUUACUUAAGCAGGAUGUGAAAUCCCCGGGCUCAACCUGGGAACUGCGUUCUGAACUGGGUGACUAGAGUGUGUCAGAGGGAGGUAGAAUUCCACGUGUAGCAGUGAAAUGCGUAGAGAUGUGGAGGAAUACCGAUGGCGAAGGCAGCCUCCUGGGAUAACACUGACGUUCAUGCUCGAAAGCGUGGGUAGCAAACAGGAUUAGAUACCCUGGUAGUCCACGCCCUAAACGAUGUCAAUUAGCUGUUGGGCAACUUGAUUGCUUAGUAGCGUAGCUAACGCGUGAAAUUGACCGCCUGGGGAGUACGGUCGCAAGAUUAAAACUCAAAGGAAUUGACGGGGACCCGCACAAGCGGUGGAUGAUGUGGAUUAAUUCGAUGCAACGCGAAGAACCUUACCUGGUCUUGACAU
rnacentral:rRNA from 1 species